UUAAUUGCGCUUCUUGAAUUUAAGAGGUUAAAUGAAGAUCAAUAAUGCUUAGCACCUCCAUUAUUGGUACAUCUACCUUAUGUGUGAGGCGAAAGUAAACAAACGUUUGUGUGGUUCGUUUGAGAGUGGCGUCCAUCCGUACUCCGUCAUCAAAGCAAAUUUAUGUUAUUUGAGAGAGCCUUGCCUAAUACUCAGAGAGAUUCUCAGCAACGGUACAUGGGAGUUUUAGCACACAAAAAAGAAUGGGUGCAACACAAUUCAUAUUGCACUAGCACGUCUCUUUCAAAUUGAACGUGCUGUCUCCCGGCAGCGCGUGCUGCACCGAAAGAGUUUUGAGUCGCACCCUAUCCCUGGUUUGCUCUCAUUGAAUGAGAUUUUAAUGAGAGAGGCUAU